AUUCCGGUUGAUCCUGCCGGAGGCCAUUGCUAUCGGAGUCCGAUUUAGCCAUGCUAGUCGUGCGAGUUCAGACUGCGCGGCACCGAGCUCAGUAACACGUGGCCAAACUACCCUACAGAGACGGAUACCCUCGGGAAACUGAGGUUAACCCGUCAUACCGAUCUCAGGCUUGAAUCGCAGAGAUCACAAAACGCCCCGGCGCUGUAGGAUGUGGCUGCGGUUGAUUAGGUAGACGGUGGGGUAACGGCCCACCGUGCCCAUAAUCAGUACAGGUUGUGAGAGCAAGAACCUGGAGACGGAAUCUGAGACAAGAUUCCGGGCCCUACGGGGCGCAGCAGGCGCGAAACCUUUACACUGCACGCACGUGCGAUAAGGGGACUCCGAGUGCGAGGGCAUAUCGUCCUCGCUUUCGUGUACCGUAGGGUGGUACACCAACAAGGGCUGGGCAAGACCGGUGCCAGCCGCCGCGGUAAUACCGGCAGCCCGAGUGAUGGCCGAUCUUAUUGGGCCUAAAGCGUCCGUAGCUAAG
rnacentral:rRNA from 1 species